rnacentral:rRNA from 1 species
GAUGAACGCUGGCGGCAGGCUUAACACAUGCAAGUCGAACGGGUGUAGCAAUACAUCAGUGGCAGACGGGUGAGUAACACGUGGGAACCUUCCUAGGGGUACGGAACAACUCAGGGAAACUUGAGCUAAUACCGUAUACGUCCGUGAGGAGAAAGAUUUAUCGCCCUUAGACGGGCCCGCGUCGGAUUAGGUAGUUGGUGGGGUAAUGGCCUACCAAGCCUACGAUCCGUAGCUGAUCUUAGAGGAUGAUCAGCCACACUGGGACUGAGACACGGCCCAGACUCCUACGGGAGGCAGCAGUGGGGAAUCUUGGACAAUGGGCGCAAGCCUGAUCCAGCCAUGCCGCGUGAGUGAAGAAGGUCUUCGGAUUGUAAAGCUCUUUUGCCAGGGACGAUAAUGACGGUACCUGGAGAAUAAGCCCCGGCAAACUUCGUGCCAGCCGCCGCAGUAAGAC